GGUUAAGCGACUAAGCGUACACGGUGGAUGCCCUGGCAGUCAGAGGCGAUGAAGGGCGUGCUAAUCUGCGAUAAGCGCCGGUAAGGUGAUAUGAACCGUUAUAACCGGCGAUACCCGAAUGGGGAAACCCAGUGUGACUCGUCACACUAUCAUUAACUGAAUCCAUAGGUUAAUGAGGCGAACCGGGGGAACUGAAACAUCUAAGUACCCCGAGGAAAAGAAAUCAACCGAGAUUCCCCCAGUAGCGGCGAGCGAACGGGGAGGAGCCCAGAGCCUGAAUCAGCAU
rnacentral:rRNA from 2 species